AACGUCUGUCGCGGAUCUCUCCCAUCCCCUGGAGUGAUCUCCCCCGGAACGGCGACCCCUCCCCAGGUCCCGUUCCCCUAGCCCCGACGACCCCCCCCUGGUCUUCGGGGCUUUUUA
rnacentral:sRNA from 1 species